rnacentral:rRNA from 1 species
UACGGAGGGAGCUAGCGUUGUUCGGAAUUACUGGGCGUAAAGCGCACGUAGGCGGCUUUGUAAGUUAGAGGUGAAAGCCUGGAGCUCAACUCCAGAACUGCCUUUGAUACUGCAUGGCUUGAAUCCAGGAGAGGUGAGUGGAAUUCCGAGUGUAGAGGUGAAAUUCGUAGAUAUUCGGAAGAACACCAGUGGCGAAGGCGGCUCACUGGACUGGUAUUGACGCUGAGGUGCGAAAGUGCGGGGAGCAAACAGG